rnacentral:rRNA from 1 species
GACGAACGCUGGCGGCGUGCUUAACACAUGCAAGUCACGGGGGCCCGCAAGGGCAACCGGCGAACGGGUGCGUAACACGUGACCAACCUGCCCCUGUGUGGGGGGAUAGCCGGGCUAACGCCCGGGUAAUACCGCAUACGGUUCCCUGGGGGAGUCCCUGGGGAAAGAAAGCUCUGGCGCACGGGGGAGGGGUCGCGGCCUAUCAGCUAGUUGGCGAGGUAACGGCUCACCAAGGCGACGGACGGGUAGCUGGUCUGGAGAGGAUGGGCCAGCCACAUUGGGACUGAGAGACGGCCCAGACUCCUACGGGA